CAGAAUUCGCCUUAGAGUUUGAUCCUGGCUCAGGAUGAACGCUGGCGGUAUGCUUUACACAUGCAAGUCGUACGAGAGUUUUUAACUCAAGUGGCGGACGGGUGAGUAACACGUAAGAAUUUGCCUUUAGGAGGGGGAUAACAACUGGAAACGGUUGCUAAUACCCCAUAUGCUUUCGAGUAAAAUGGAUUUUCCGCCUAAAGAGAAGCUUGCGGCUGAUUAGCUUGUUGGUGAGGUAAUGGCUCACCAAGGCGACGAUCAGUAUCUGGUUUGAGAGGACGAUCAGACACACUGGAACUGAGACACGGUCCAGACUCCUACGGGAGGCAGCAGUGGGGAAUUUUCCGCAAUGGGCGAAAGCCUGACGGAGCAAUACCGCGUGAGGGAUGACGGCCUAUGGGUUGUAAACCUCUUUUUUCAGGGAGGAAUCAAUGACGUGUACCUGAAGAAUAAGCAUCGGCUAACUCCGUGCCAGCAGCCGCGGUAAGACGGAGGAUGCAAGUGUUAUCCGGAAUCACUGGGCGUAAAGCGUCUGUAGGUGGUCAAAUAAGUCAACUGUUAAAUCUUGAGGCUCAACCUCAAAAUCGCAGUCGAAACUAUUCGACUAGAGUAUAGUAGGGGUAAAGGGAAUUUCCAGUGGAGCGGUGAAAUGCGUAGAGAUUGGAAAGAACACCGAUGGCGAAGGCACUUUACUGGGCUAUUACUAACACUGAGAGACGAAAGCUAGGGUAGCAAAUGGGAUUAGAUACCCCAGUAGUCCUAGCCGUAAACAAUGGAUACUAGAUGUUGAACAGAUCGACCUGUGCAGUAUCAAAGCUAACGCGUUAAGUAUCCCGCCUGGGAAGUAUGCUCGCAAGAGUGAAACUCAAAUGAAUUGACGGGGAAGGGC
rnacentral:rRNA from 1 species